rnacentral:snRNA from 1 species
GUCUCACUUUGGCAGACAUACUGAAAUUAGAAUGAUACAGUUUAGCUCCACUGCAGAAGGAUGAUACCCAAAUUCGCGAAGUGUUCCACAUAGAG